rnacentral:pre_miRNA from 1 species
UUGAAGAAUUUGAAAACUUCAACUUUCACGCAUAAAGAAAUUAAAUACUUCAACUUGCAGACUUGAAGAAUUUGAAGACUUCAACU